rnacentral:rRNA from 1 species
GACAGAGGUGCCGAGCGUUAGGCGGAAUCACUGGGCUUAAAGCGUGUGUAGGCGGAUCUGUAAGUCCCUUGUGAAAUCCCACGGCUCAACCGUGGAACUGCUUGGUAUACUGCGGGUCUUGAGCCACCUAGGGGCAAGUGGAACAAACGGUGGAGCGGUGAAAUGCGUAGAUAUCGUUUGGAACGCCAAUGGUGAAAACAACUUGCUGGGGGUGUGCUGACGCUGAGACACGAAAGCCAGGGGAGCAAACGGG